rnacentral:rRNA from 1 species
AUUGAACGCUGGCGGCAGGCCUAACACAUGCAGGUCGAGCGGAUGAAGGGAGCUUGCUCCUGGAUUCAGCGGCGGACGGGUGAGUAAUGCCUAGGAAUCUGCCUGGUAGUGGGGGAUAACGUCCGGAAACGGGCGCUAAUACCGCAUACGUCCUGAGGGAGAAAGUGGGUGAUCUUCGGACCUCACGCUAUCAGAUUAGCCUAGGUCGGAUUAUCUAGUUGGUGGGGUAAAGGCCUACCAAGGCGACGAUCCGUAACUGGUCUGAGAGGAUGAUCAGUCACAAUGGAACUGAGACACGGUCCAGACUACUACGGGAGGCAGCAGUGGGGAAUAUUGGACAAUGGGCGAAAGCCUGAUACAGCAAUGCCGCGUGUGUGAAGAAGGUCUUCGGAUUGUAAAGCACUUUAAGUUGGGAGGAAGGGCAGUAAGUUAAUACCUUGCUGUUUUGACGUUAACAACAGAAUAAGCACCGGCUAACUUCGUG